UACGGGGGGAGCAAGCGUUGUUCGGAUUUACUGGGCGUAAAGGGCGCGUAAGCGGCGUGACAAGUCACUUGUGAAAUCUCCGGGCUUAACUCGGAACGGUCAAGUGAUACUGUCGUGCUAGAGUACAGAAGGGGCAACUGGAAUUCUCGGUGUAGCGGUGAAAUGCGUAGAUAUCGAGAGGAACACCUGCGGCGAAGGCGGGUUGCUGGGCUGAUACUGACGCUGAGGCACGAAAGCCAGGGUAGCGAACGGG
rnacentral:rRNA from 1 species